AUUGAACGCUGGCGGCAGGCCUAACACAUGCAAGUCGAGCGGAUGAAGGGAGCUUGCUCCUGGAUUCAGCGGCGGACGGGUGAGUAAUGCCUAGGAAUCUGCCUGGUAGUGGGGGAUAACGUCCGGAAACGGGCGCUAAUACCGCAUACGUCCUGAGGGAGAAAGUGGGGGAUCUUCGGACCUCACGCUAUCAGAUGAGCCUAGGUCGGAUUAGCUAGUUGGUGGGGUAAAGGCCUACCAAGGCGACGAUCCGUAACUGGUCUGAGAGGAUGAUCAGUCACACGGGAACUGAGACACGGUCCAGACUCCUACGGGAGGCAGCAGUGGGGAAUAUUGGACAAUGGGCGAAAGCCUGAUCCAGCCAGGCCGCGUGUGUGAAGAGGGUCUUCGGAUUGUAAAGCACUUUAAGUUGGGAGGAAGGGCAGUAAGUUAAUACCUUGCUGUUUUGACGUUACCAACAGAAUAAGCACCGGCUAACUUCGUG
rnacentral:rRNA from 1 species